rnacentral:rRNA from 1 species
GCUUAUAUGACAUAGAACCUAACAUAUGUAGGACAGAAACUAGAGCCAAGAACUGUAGCAGGACUUCUAAUAGAAAGGAGAAGAACACGUACGGCACAGCAGCAGCAGAAGCGCUGGACUUGGGGUCGGUGUCCUCGCCUGCCAUGUCGUCGAGGAGGUCGUGGACGUCGGGGAAGUAGUCGUCGGCGACCGGAUCGUCCGUGAUGAAACAGCCAGUAGUCGCGCAGAGCGCUCCCCAAAAACCUUAUCACCCUUCUCCCGUACAGGACUCAAAGAGUGCGGUUUCGGAGGCCUACUGUCCCGACCUGCGGUGCACGCCGCAAGCCGGGAUGGAGAAGAUCGUAGCGCAGCGCAGUGCUCAGGAACCGGUGGCGAGAGGAAGAAG